rnacentral:rRNA from 1 species
UACAGAGGUCCCAAGCGUUGUUCGGAUUCACUGGGCGUAAAGGGUGCGUAGGUGGUGAGGUAAGUCGGAUGUGAAAGCUCGGAGCUCAACUCCGAAAUGGCAUUGGAAACUACCUUGCUCGAGGGUUGGAGGGGGGACUGGAAUGCUUGGUGUAGCAGUGAAAUGCGUAGAUAUCAAGCGGAACACCAGUGGCGAAGGCGAGUCCCUGGUCAACUCCUGACACUGAGGCACGAAAGCUAGGGGAGCAAACAGG